rnacentral:rRNA from 1 species
CCCAACGACUGUGCCACGUUGAAUACACCAGUUCUCGUCCAAUCACUGAAGUUAAGCGACGUUGGGCGUGGUCAGUACUCUGAUGGGUAACCGUCUGGGAGAUCACGUGUUGAUGGAU